AAGCCUGCAGAAGCGCUACCCGGCCAACGUGGCAGCCCCCUUCCACCCGCAGCCUUACGGGAAAGUGGUGAGGGGGCAGCCCCAGCCCCAGCUGCGGGGGCGUAGGGGGCGGCCAGGGGAGAGUCCAGUCAGGACCCUUUGGCUGUGAGGGGCUUUAUUUAUAGAUCAAACAUCACACCUGCAUCCUGCAUUUUACAUCUUCUCUCACCUUCUCACAACUCCUCAGGGUUAGUACAAUUACCCCAUUUUACAGAUGAGCAGAUAGACUCAGAGGAGUUAAGUGACGUGGCCAAGGCCACGCAGCCUUUGCCCACGGCUGGGUCAUGGCUCCUUGGUUCUUUCUCAGUCUUUGAUUUCUAUUUGUGGUGUGUUUUUGUUCUGGGCCUGUGAGCGCACAGUGGCUGGGGGAGGGCAGGAGGGGGCGUGCUGUUUCUGGCUCCUUCAUCUCAGCACAUCCAAGCUGGUGGGAAGAAAGCGGAGCAGGGCCAGCUGCUGAGGACCCAUCCCUUAGGUUCUGGUCCUGGAAUGUGUGGACCAAGUGCCCUGGUCCCUUUGCUAGAGAAAAGGAGUGGGAGUCAGCCAACUGACGGCAGCAGAGAGUGGGGACCAACCCCCAGUACAAAAUCAGGCUUAGUUUCCUGCUUGAGAGGCAUCAUCAGAAGAAGACCCCCAGGAGAAGAGGCGGGACUGACUGAGGUGGCCUGCUUGGAGUGAGGUGGCAGGUUAUUCCAGAGCCGCUCUCCCAGCUGAGCUUCGUGCUGGACAGCUCAGCCCCAGCUCUGACCUUCUCCCCUACUCUCUCUCCCAGCUGGAUCCAGCCCCUGUGCCUGGGCAGCCUCGUGCAUCUCCCCCGGGGCAUUUGGCAGUCCCCCCCCAAUAGAAUCUGCCCCCAACCCAACUUCCCGCCAACCUGCCCAGGCAGGUGUGGCCAAGCCUCGCUGUCUGCGUGACCGUCAAGGGGCAGGGGCUACAGGUUUCACUCUUCAUUCAACACGUGCUGUCAAAUGUCGCCAGACACAGUCCUACAGCCUGAGGAUACAGCAGUGACCAAUAACCAUGCCCCCGAGGACAUUCUAGGGGGGAGGGGGCAAAUAAUACAGGAAUAAAUAAGAAACAAACAAGUA
rnacentral:lncRNA from 1 species